rnacentral:rRNA from 1 species
UACGUAGGGCGCAAGCGUUGUCCGGAAUUAUUGGGCGUAAAGAGCUCGUAGGCGGUUUGUCGCGUCUGCUGUGAAAACUCGGGGCUUAACCCCGGGCCUGCAGUGGGUACGGGCAGACUAGAGUGCGGUAGGGGAGACUGGAAUUCCUGGUGUAGCGGUGAAAUGCGCAGAUAUCAGGAGGAACACCAAUGGCGAAGGCAGCACUCUGGGACGUGACUGACGCUGAGACGCGAAAGCGUGGGGAGCAAACAGG